AAGAGGUUUGAAUCAUUUAUGAUUCAUCUUCCCAUCCUGUGAUUAAACCACAUCUUUGUUUCUUGGUUGGCUCUAAGUCUCGGCUUAGGUAAGACCGAUCAAUAUCCAAAAUUCUUCUUAAUUAUGAAUGUCUAAAACUUUUAUUUUUUAAAUAAAACA
rnacentral:misc_RNA from 1 species